UAUAUCGCGGCUUGUUACUCGCGUAGGACUUUCUAACGAAGUUUUCCUUGGAAAUAAUGUCUCAUAGAAAAUCAUUCCGGUGGUUAGUUAGUCUCGUACGUUUCUAUGAGUGUGUGGUCUCCCACACGUAAGUAUAUAAAACAGCAAAACGACGUUGUUAUACAUAGAUAUAUCGUAGCAGCAAAGCAACUCAGAUGGAGUCCGAUGGUAGUAGGUAGAAGAAGCCGACCGUCUAACGAUCGCCUAAUGUCUCGCGAUACGUAGACGAGAAGGAAUUGUUGAAAGAGCAAAGAACAGAUUUAGUUUUACGCUUAGCCAUGAUCGACGCUACUGUUAUGGACCGUUCACGUACGACACCCAGGUGUGUAAACAAAGCACGUUUCUUUCAUCCUGCCACCAACGCCAGGUUUAUUUUAACGUUCUUCGGGAUAUCUUCAAUGGCGACGAUGGUAACGAUAAAAAUUCGUAUUUCAUUUAAAAGAAAAGAAAAAAAAAAAUAUAUAUAUAUAAUUUUUUUUUCAUACGCGU